rnacentral:rRNA from 1 species
UACGAAGGGGGCUAGCGUUGCUCGGAAUUACUGGGCGUAAAGGGCGCGUAGGCGGCGUGAUCAGUCAGGCGUGAAAUUCCUGGGCUUAACCUGGGGGCUGCGCUUGAUACGGUCGUGCUAGAGGGCAGAAGAGGGUCGUGGAAUUCCCAGUGUAGAGGUGAAAUUCGUAGAUAUUGGGAAGAACACCGGUGGCGAAGGCGGCGACCUGGUCUGUUACUGACGCUGAGGCGCGAAAGCGUGGGGAGCAAACAGG